AUUGAACGCUGGCGGCAGGCCUAACACAUGCAAGUCGAGCGGUAGAGAGAAGCUUGCUUCUCUUGAGAGCGGCGGACGGGUGAGUAUUGCCUAGGAAUCUGCCUAGUGGUGGGGGAUAACGUUCGGAAACGGACGCUAAUACCGCAUACGUCCUACGGGAGAAAGCGGGGGAUCGAAAGACCUCGCGCGAUUAGAGCGGCCGAUGCCUGAUUAGCUUGUUGGUGGGGUAAAAGCCCACCAAGGCGACGAUCAGUAGCUGGUCUGAGAGGACGAUCAGCCACACUGGGACUGAGACACGGCCCAGACUCCUACGGGAGGCAGCAGUGGGGAAUUUUGGACAAUGGGCGCAAGCCUGAUCCAGCAAUGCCGCGUGCAGGAAGAAGGCCUUCGGGUUGUAAACUGCUUUUGUACGGAACGAAACGGUCCGGGUUAAUACCCUGGGCUAAUGACGGUACCGUAAGAAUAAGCACCGGCUAACUACGUG
rnacentral:rRNA from 1 species